CAGCUUCUCACCAGAGCUCAACUGUGCUGGCUCGCUGACCUCAGAUGCCCAGCCCCUGUCCUCGUAAAAGGAACCAGGGGUCUUUACAGAACAUAAAGGCUGGAGCAAGAAAUAUACAAGAGGAGCCUGGAGCAUCUCGUAGCACCAGAAAAUAGGGAAGUGCUCAACAAAUAUAAAAAACCCCACAGAAAAGACCAUAUUUUUCUUAGAGCCCUGAGGUGACUGAAGGAAGAGCACCCAGGAAUCCAGCCUCCAUCUUCUCUAGACAUCCUGCUGCAUACCCAGGAGAGGUCCACGUGAAGAACUGUGACCUCCUGCCAGAAGCCAGCACCAACUGGCCACCCUCUUGGAUGUAGACUCCCCAUCCCUGCCAAGCCCCAGAUGACUUGGUCCCUACCAACAUCUGACUGACUGUAAUACUGAGGAGGGCCAUGAACCGGCUUCUUAGGAGGUGCUAGUGGUAAAGACCCAUCUGCCAAUGCAGGAGACUUAAGAGACUCGAGUUCCAUCCCUGGGUCAGGAAGAUCCCCUGGAGGAGGGCAUGGCAACCCAC
ensembl:lncRNA